UACGAAGGGGGCUAGCGUUGCUCGGAAUCACUGGGCGUAAAGGGUGCGUAGGCGGCUUUGUAAGUCAGUGGUGAAAUAUGGCAGCUCAACUGUCAGGGUGCCAUUGAUACUGCAGAGCUUGAGUACAGAUGAGGUAGGCGGAAUUGACGGUGUAGCGGUGAAAUGCUUAGAUAUCGUCAAGAACACCGAUAGCGAAGGCAGCUUACUGGGCUGUAACUGACGCUGAGGCACGAAAGUGUGGGGAUCAAACAGG
rnacentral:rRNA from 1 species